ensembl:snoRNA predicted gene, 22488
GGGGUGUGCUCAGAGCAGGCAGCCUGAAGAAUGGCUUCUCUGUUUACAACACACCCAAGAAGAAUCUGGGACCAUUAUAAUGAGGGGCACAAGCAGUUUCCCUCUCUGUGAAUGGAUCCCCUACAUGU